rnacentral:ncRNA from 1 species
CACAAAGUGAUGAAGAGAAGAGUAGAUUGCGCUGCGGUGACAAGAGAGCCUGGCAAGGGUGGAAUCCGGGUACUGAAUCGCAAUUGAAGAUGGUCUCUGAGCAGAGCGGAUGAGCUUUUCAUGGUGAAUCCCUACGGUGAGUGACGCCGUUAACGGUACAGUGUUUUGAACACAAAGAGGCUUUUAGAGGAAUCUAAGAGUGAAUUAGGGUGGUACCGCGAAUAGCUUCGCCCCUAGG